rnacentral:rRNA from 1 species
UACGUAGGGGGCAAGCGUUGUCCGGAUUUAUUGGGCGUAAAGAGCGUGUAGGCGGCUAGAUAGGUCCGUUGUGAAAACUCGAGGCUUAACCUCGAGAUGUCAUCGGAAACCAUCUGGCUAGAGUCCGGAAGAGGAGAAUGGAAUUCCCGGUGUAGUGGUGAAAUGCGUAGAUAUCGGGAGGAACACCAGUGGCGAAGGCGGCUUCCUGGCCUGUUCUUGACGCUGAGGCGCGAAAGCUAGGGGAGCAAACGGG